CCAAUAGCGUAUAUUAAAGUUGUUGCAGUUAAAAAGCUCGUAGUUGAAUUUUAGUCCUGGCCGGGCGGUCCGUCUUUGGCGAGUACUGUCCUGUGUCGGGUCUUCCUUCUGGUGAACCGGCAUGUCCUUUAUUGGGUGUGCCGGGGAGCCAGGACCAUUACCUUGAAAAAAUUAGAGUGUUUAAAGCGGGCAUUUGCUUGAAUAGAUUAGCAUGGAAUAAUAGAAUAGGACGUUGUGGUUCUAUUUUGUUGGUUUCUAGGACCACCGUAAUGAUUAAUAGGGAUAGUUGGGGGCAUUAGUAUUCAAUUGUCAGAGGUGAAAUUCUUGGAUUUAUUGAAGACUAACUACUGCGAAAGCAUUUGCCAAGGAUGUUUUCAUUAAUCAAGAACGAAAGUUAGGGGAUCGAAGACGAUCAGAUACCGUCGUAGUCUUAACCAUAAACUAUGCCGACUAGGAAUCGGGCGACGUUAUUUUCAUGACUCGCUCGGCGCCUUAUG
rnacentral:rRNA from 1 species